CGUAGGCGAUCGGGCAAGGGAGACUGGCCGCCGGAUGGGACUGACAAACCCACCGCUGCCGGGACCUGCGGAACCUUCUGAAUGACGUGGGGUGGGGAGAGCGUCUUAGGUGCCACAGCCUCCAAGCCUCAUUGAUUGUCCCUCUCCAACAAGCCUUUAGGCACAGCCACCCACGCUUCUGGAGCAUAUCUCCAUGGAGAGCCUCUCUUUUGCUCUGCCAUGGCCCCGCGGGCAGGAUUGGAGUGUGCUUGGGGCAAGUGAUUUAUCCGUUGAAGCUGCGGCAGCGAGGUGCAAGUUUUGAGGCGCGCUUCUUCGGGGCAUUACGGCGCUUCCCCGACGCCAGCGCUGACGUCUGCGCGGGGGAGGGAGGCCACUUCGGUUCUCCGAGUUCCCUACCCGAACAGCCAGAGUUAGACGCGUCGGCGCGGGAAAGUGGCUCGCUGGUGGGCGGGGAGCCUUAGCCCUGGCUGUGGGGUGAUAAUCCGGCAUCGGGCAGACGCUCACGUUCGCAGGACCCCAGCAUUCCGGCGUCCGCUGCAACCCAAGGAAAACGGGCCGGACCUUUCCAGGAAUGUCAUGUGAAGGCACAGGAGAGACAGAGGAGACCCCAUGUGAAGAUGGAAGCAGAAGUCAAAGUGAUGUGUCGCCAAGCCAAAGAAUGCCCAGGAUUUCCAGCAACCACCAGAAGCUAGGAGAGAGGCAUGGAACAGAUUUUUUUUCUCUCAGUUCUGGAAACAACAAACCCCACUGACACCUUGAUUUUAGACUUCUAGCCUCUGAACUAGAAGAAAAUAAAUGGUGGUUAUCCUAA